CCUAGUAAAAAAGCUAGAAUUACAACAUAAGACCAGAAGACCCUGUGAAGCUUAAAUAAAACUAUUAAACCACAUAAUAACUACUUUCGGUUGGGGCGACCUUGGAAAAAAAAAGAACUUCCAAAUAAAAUGAAUAUACCUCAUUAUCUAAAYCRGGCCAACAAGCCAAAAAUGACCCASCAUGGCUGAWAAUUGAACCAAGUUACUCCAGGGAUAACAGCGCAAUCUUCUUCAAGAGCCCAUAUCAAAAAGAAGGUUUACRACCUCRAUGUUGGAUCAGGACAUCCUAAUGGUGCAGCCGCUAUUAAGGGUUCGUUUGUUCAACGAUUAAUA
rnacentral:rRNA from 1 species